ACGGUAAAAAUGCAGACAACUCUGCUUGAUCGAGAACAUGGUACUUCGAACCGAUUAAUCAUCGACUAAAGCGUUCCACAAGCUCCUGACCUUAAUGGUUAUAGAUAAACAUCAUGAAAAAGAUAUUCAACAAAAAUAUAUAAAACAAUUAUUGAGGGUUGAGAAGUUAAAUCAGAAUACAUCUGCAUUAAGGCAUCUCUAAUGAUAACACACUUUAUUACACAGAUCUAGUAUGCUUUUUUAAUUUUGGAUGAUCUGCUUUAAUCAAGAUUUCCAUGGUGAAAAUAAGGACCACUCUCACAUCCACACUUAAAUAUUGUAAAUAUAGUAUUGCAAUCUCAAACACAUUAUUGCAGCAGCAAUUACGUUGACGUAGUUGUACUAUUGCUAGAAUUUGUAGUGCAGCAAGUCUGGUGUUUUUUUAGCACUGGCCAACCAUUUUUUUAUUAGAGAUAGUAAUUCACAAUUGAAAGGUAAUCUUAGAAUAUAGAGUCGAUGUUUAGCAGUACCUUCUGUGGGCAGCCAAUCCACGUAAACUGGAUAAAAAUGGGUUCAUACUUCAUUCUCCGACUUAAAUCAAGGAUAGGCUCCUACCGCUUUCCGGUAAAGACAAAAUGCAAUCCGAUUAGUAGUAGACUCAAGGAAGCAUCAAUACAUAUAAUUUGUUAGAAUUUCUGUGUGAUGGUGGUAAUUUUGUUUCACGUCCCGACUAAUACAAAUACACCUGAAAUACAUAACACCCCACCAGAAAUCUAAGCUACAAAAACAUAUGCUUUGUCGACUUUUGAUACGUUUCAGACUUUGAUUUAAGCCAUUCAUAAAGUACCCAUUCAUGUUCAAAAUUGCAUAAAAGUGACAAGUAUUCGUGGAUGCAUGGACCUUCGUUUUGACAGUCUUGAUGGUCUUGUGAAUGCCUCAAAUAUGAGUGAUGGCUGGAGGAAACGUGUUCACUGCAGCAUGGGAGCUAAAUCACUCUAGCAGAUUAGUGCCAAACCUACCUCGUGUUUCCGUAGUCACAGGCUAGCAAGCAGAGCACAGUGAUAGUCAGAUAGUGGUAGGUGGGUAGAGAGACAAGAUCAAAUCGACCCACCCAAACCAAAAAAGUCAGCGAAUCCAUGA
rnacentral:lncRNA from 1 species